CCUACGGGGGGCAGCAGUGAGGAAUAUUGGUCAAUGGCCGGAAGGCUGAACCAGCCAUGCCGCGUGAAGGUCAGUGCCCUAUGGGCGUUAAACUUCUUUUGUGCGGGAGCAAUAAUGGUCACGUGUGGCCAGACGAGAGUACCGUACGAAUAAGCAUCGGCUAACUCCGUGCCAGCAGCCGCGGUAAUACGGGGGAUGCAAGCGUUAUCCGGAUUUAUUGGGUUUAAAGGGUGCGUAGGCUGUGAGGUAAGUCAGCGGUGAAAUGCCCCCGCUCAACGGGGUGAAGUGCCAUUGAUACUGCCUGGCUGGAAGGCGGAUGCCGUGGGAGGAAUGUGUGGUGUAGCGGUGAAAUGCAUAGAUAUCACACAGAACACCGAUUGCGAAGGCAUCUCACGAAUCCGCGAUUGACGCUGAUGCACGAAAGCGUGGGUAUCAAACAGGAUUAGAUACCCUUGUAGUC
rnacentral:rRNA from 1 species